rnacentral:rRNA from 1 species
UACGGAGGGUGCAAGCGUUGUCCGGAAUCACUGGGUGUAAAGGGUGUGUAGGCGGCUCUGUAAGUCAGAGGUGAAAUCCCGCAGCUUAACUGUGGAACUGCCUUUGAUACUGCAGAACUUGAGUCUCGAAGAGGUAGCUGGAAUUCGUGGUGUAGCGGUGAAAUGCGUAGAUAUCACGAGGAACACCAGAGGCGUAGGCGGGCUACUGGGCGAGUACUGACGCUGAGGCACGAAAGCGUGGGGAGCAAACAGG